CACGACUGCACUCCAGUCUGGGGUGACAGAGCAAGACUGUCUCAAAAUUAAAAAAAAAAGAGAGAGAGAGAAAUAAAGUGUAGUAGGCAAGAAAAGAAAUCAUCUCAGCUGGUUUUGGAUAUUGGACAUGAGCUCAGACCUGAGAACUGAGAAGCUGCCUGUUGCAGAAGGUCAAAGAGACCUGCCCAAGAGAGCAGAAGAGACCUGCCCAAGGUCACCUACUGAAUUAGCACCGAGCUCAGGUUGGACCCCAGUCUCCAGAUCCCCAGGCCUGCAUCCUCUCCACUUUCUCCUGUACUGCUCAACCACUGCCUUAUAACAAAGAAUGGAGACAAUGAUAUUCUCUGCCUCACGGAGCUGGUGUGAAGAAUACAUGAGCUGAGCAUAGGCACAGGAAAGAGAAAGUUCCAGCGGGUGAGCUCUGAGAGCAACAGCAUAGCACAAUGAGAAAAAAGCCAUUCUCUGGAGAGAGACAUCAAACUUUCUGAAGAAACUGUGGCAGUUCCAGGAUUUUAACAGAUCUGUCCAUAGCAAGCAAGCACAAAGAUUGCUGGAGCCAUGCAAAUAGAGUUGUUGAAGACUGUACAGGAAACAGGAAGUUUGAGGUAUUGGGGAUAGGGAGACAGAACCUUCUGCAAUUAAUAGGUCUGAUAUAAGAAAUACACCACCCACAUGCAGACUGGUCAAUCAACCACAGAAGAAUAUCAGAUCCUGAAGGGAGGCAGAGGAAGACGAUAUCAUAGAGACAGUCCUUUUAAAGCCCCAUAUUGCUAAUGGUUUCACCAACUGAGUAAGAAACAAUGGAUAAUAAUGGUUGAAACACAAAGCAUCACAUCUAUAGUUUAUCAUAUAUAAUUGUGCUUAAGUUGACUGUAGUAAACUGUGGCUCACAUGACAGAAUGAUCUUAAUUAUUUUCAAUUAGUUUCUUUUGUAGUUAAUCUAAAGUCCUGAGUAAAAUAAUUCAUGGUAGCAUUGCCACAAAGACAUGUGGAAACUGAAAACUGUAGGCAUAAUUCUGGGGUCCAGGAUGGGCAGCUGAAGAGAGCAACCCCUCUACAGAUGACACCAAAAUAAGCCCUCUUUGAGCCUGUGUGAUCCUUCAUGUCUGAUAAUCUGUGGAUCCAGGGCUCAUGGACAUUUAAAAGAAAGGCAUGCCUUUUUAGGCAGCUUCUCAGCAUGUUACUGAUGACAUGCUUCAAGAUUUCUUGUACAGAAUCUGACGAUUCUUAAAUAAAUUAGAAUCCCAAUAGUUUUGUUAGUCAGUAUUCAUUUUCUAGUCACUAAGAGCUAAGCUUUGAGGAAUAAAAUUCCAACUAAGAAGAAUAAUAAAAAACGGGAAUGGCGCCCUUGAAAUACUAGUUCCUUAUCCCUAGGAUUUUAUUGUAAUUAGAAUAUUAUGUAUAUAGUUUAAUUUAUAAUAUAUAUAUUUAAAUUUCAUUACUUCAUAAGGAAAGGCAGUCUCCAAGAAAAAUUAAAAGCCAUCUAUAUGAAUGUCCAAAUUUUCAAGAACGAUUUCAUAGCCUGGUUGAAAAUGUGUACUCUCCCCAUCACUUUGCAAUUGGAAGAACUGCAGAAUCAUGAAUAAUACAAAAAGAUGUUAAACUUUUCAACAAAUCCAGAUGGGUACCAAUGUCAUUGAGAAUUCCUGAGAAUCACCUUGAUUGCUGCUUCAGACCUAGGAGCCUGAAUUGAAUAUCACUUACCAGUUGGAACCUAUUGGCUUAAGUGAAGACAGUUUCCACAAUACCAUUGGUAUCUAUAUUGUUUACUUUUAAAAUUGUACAGACAUUAAGUUUGUAUUUUUGUCAAAUAAAAAACGUCCAAACUUUAACAUUCA